AGCAGUCGCCACGGUAAUACGUAGGGUGCGAGCGUUAAUCGGAAUUACUGGGCGUAAAGCGUGCGCAGGCGGUUAUAUAAGACAGAUGUGAAAUCCCCGGGCUCAACCUGGGAACUGCAUUUGUGACUGUAUAGCUAGAGUACGGCAGAGGGGGAUGGAAUUCCGCGUGUAGCAGUGAAAUGCGUAGAUAUGCGGAGGAACACCGAUGGCGAAGGCAAUCCCCUGGGCCUGUACUGACGCUCAUGCACGAAAGCGUGGGGAGCAAACAGGAUUAGAUACCCCCGUAGUCCCUGUCUUUUAUAC
rnacentral:rRNA from 1 species